rnacentral:lncRNA from 1 species
UACGGGGAACUAAGAUUCGUGACUAGAUUUCCCUUUUUAUAGAGGAGAUAGGAGCGUGCCAAGGCUUAAGGGGCCAUACUCCUCCAUAUCCCAUAUUUAAAGGGCUAUUUCCUAAUCUAAUCAAGUAAAUGAUCUAACGUAUUUCGAAUUUUCUUAAAUGAAAUGCAAGUCUAGUGCCAUGUCUCACACAUAGGGAUAAGGAAUAUACAUAUAGGGAGAAAUAUCAUGCAAAAAUGAUAAGGAUCCUAAAAGAUAGAAAAUAUGCAUGAAAUGUAGUGAUUUGUCACACAAACAUGGUCUAACAUGUGGACGGUCCCUAAUGGUCUAACGUUGGACUAGUCCAUGUCUAUAAGUUCUCACUAGCGGUGGACUAGUGAGAAAUCGGAACAAAAGGCCACAACUAGCGUUGGACUAAUGUGGUGACGUUAUACAUUUUGUUAUAAUCACAUAAAUCAUAUAAAACAUAAUGAAAGUAAGUAAACACAUAAUAUCACAUAGGGUUAAAA